AUACGUAGGGGGCGAGCGUUGUCCGGAAUUACUGGGCGUAAAGGGCGCGUAGGCGGUCUAAUAAGUCAGAUGUGAAAUUCUUGGGCUUAACUCAGGAUGUGCAUUUGAAACUGUUGGACUUGAGGGCAGGAGAGGAAAGCGGAAUUCCCAGUGUAGCGGUGAAAUGCGUAGAUAUUGGGAGGAACACCAGUGGCGAAGGCGGCUUUCUGGACUGAACCUGACGCUGAGGCGCGAAAGCCAGGGGAGCGAACGGGAUUAGAUACCCCGGUAGUCCUGGCCGUAAACGAUGGAUACUAGGUGUGGGAGGUAUCGACCCCUUCCGUGCCGGAGCAAACGCAAUAAGUAUCCCGCCUGGGGAGUACGGCCGCAAGGCUGAA
rnacentral:rRNA from 1 species